rnacentral:rRNA from 1 species
GACGAACGCUGGCGGCGUGCUUAACACAUGCAAGUCGAACGGAAAGGCCCUGCUUUUGUGGGGUGCUCGAGUGGCGAACGGGUGAGUAACACGUGAGUAACCUGCCCUUGACUUUGGGAUAACUUCAGGAAACUGGGGCUAAUACCGGAUAGGAGCUCCUGCUGCAUGGUGGGGGUUGGAAAGUUUCGGCGGUUGGGGAUGGACUCGCGGCUUAUCAGCUUGUUGGUGGGGUAGUGGCUUACCAAGGCUUUGACGGGUAGCCGGCCUGAGAGGGUGACCGGGCACAUUGGGAAUGGGGUACCGGCCAAGCUCCUUCCGGAGGCAGCAGUGGGGAAUAUUGCACAAUGGGCGGAAGCCUGAUGCAGCAACGCCGCGUGCGGGAUGACGGCCUUCGGGUUGUAAACCGCUUUCGCCUGUGACGAAGCGUGAGUGACGGUAAUGGGUAAAGAAGCACCGGCUAACUACGUG